rnacentral:rRNA from 1 species
AAGUCGAGCGGUAGAGAGGAGCUUGCUCCUCUUGAGAGCGGCGGACGGGUGAGUAAUGCCUAGGAAUCUGCCUGGUAGUGGGGGAUAACGUUCGGAAACGGACGCUAAUACCGCAUACGUCCUACGGGAGAAAGCAGGGGAUCUUCGGACCUUGCGCGAUUGAAUGAGCCGAUGUCGGAUUAGCUAGUUGGCGGGGUAAAGGCCCACCAAGGCUACGAUCCGUAACUGGUCUGAGAGGAUGAUCAGUCACACUGGAACUGAGACACGGUCCAGACUCCUACGGGAGGCAGCAGUGGGGAAUAUUGGACAAUGGGCGAAAGCCUGAUCCAGCCAUGCCGCGUGUGUGAAGAAGGUCUUCGGAUUGUAAAGCACUUUAAGUUGGGAGGAAGGGCAGUUACCUAAUACGUGAUUGUUUUGACGUUACCGACAGAAUAAGCACCGGCUAACUCUGUGCCAGCAGCCGCGGUAAU